UGGGGAAUAUUGCACAAUGGGCGCAAGCCUGAUGCAGCCAUGCCGCGUGUAUGAAGAAGGCCUUCGGGUUGUAAAGUACUUUCAGCGGGGAGGAAGGGAGUAAAGUUAAUACCUUUGCUCAUUGACGUUACCCGCAGAAGAAGCACCGGCUAACUCCGUGCCAGCAGCCGCGGUAAUACGGAGGGUGCAAGCGUUAAUCGGAAUUACUGGGCGUAAAGCGCACGCAGGCGGUUUGUUAAGUCAGAUGUGAAAUCCCCGGGCUCAACCUGGGAACUGCAUCUGAUACUGGCAAGCUUGAGUCUCGUAGAGGGGGGUAGAAUUCCAGGUGUAGCGGUUAAAUGCGUAGAGAUCUAGGGGAAUACCGGUGGCGAAGGCGGCCCCCUGGACAAAGACUGACGCUCAGGUGCGAAAGCGUGGGGAGCAAACAGG
rnacentral:rRNA from 1 species